GACGAACGCUGGCGGUGUGCUUAACACAUGCAAGUCGAACGGUAAGGCCCUUUCGGGGGUACACGAGUGGCGAACGGGUGAGUAACACGUGAGUAACCUGCCCUCAUCUCUGGGAUAACAGUCGGAAACGGUUGCUAAUACUGGAUAUGAGCUUGCAAGGCAUCUUGUGGGUUGGAAAGAUUUUUUUGGUUGGGGAUGGACUCGCGGCCUAUCAGCUUGUUGGUGAGGUAGUGGCUCACCAAGGCUUCGACGGGUAGCCGGCCUGAGAGGGCGACCGGCCACAUUGGGACUGAGAUACGGCCCAAACUCCUACGGGGGGCAGCAGUGGGGAAUAUUGCACAAUGGACGGAAGUCUGAUGCAGCAACGCCGCGUGCGGGAUGACGGCCUUCGGGUUGUAAACCGCGUUCAAUUGUGACGAAGCUUUUUGUGACGGUAGCAGUAGAAGAAGCACCGGCUAACUACGUG
rnacentral:rRNA from 1 species